rnacentral:rRNA from 1 species
AUUGAACGCUAGCGGGAUGCUUUACACAUGCAAGUCGAACGGCAGCGCGGACUUCGGUCUGGCGGCGAGUGGCGAACGGGUGAGUAAUGUAUCGGAACGUGCCCAGUAGCGGGGGAUAACUACGCGAAAGCGUAGCUAAUACCGCAUACGCCCUACGGGGGAAAGCAGGGGAUCGUAAGACCUUGCACUAUUGGAGCGGCCGAUAUCGGAGUAGCUAGUUGGUGAGGUAACGGCUCACCAAGGCGACGAUCCGUAGCUGGUUUGAGAGGACGACCAGCCACACUGGGACUGAGACACGGCCCAGACUCCUACGGGAGGCAGCAGUGGGGAAUUUUGGACAAUGGGGGCAACCCUGAUCCAGCCAUCCCGCGUGUGCGAUGAAGGCCUUCGGGUUGUAAAGCACUUUUGGCAGGAAAGAAACGUCGCGGGCUAAUACCCCGUGGAACUGACGGUACCUGCAGAAUAAGCACCGGCUAACUACGU